rnacentral:rRNA from 1 species
CCUACGGGAGGCAGCAGUGGGGAAUAUUGGACAAUGGGCGAAAGCCUGAUCCAGCAAUGCCGCGUGAGUGAUGAAGGCCUUAGGGUCGUAAAGCUCUUUUACCAGGGAUGAUAAUGACAGUACCUGGAGAAUAAGCUCCGGCUAACUCCGUGCCAGCAGCCGCGGUAAUACGGAGGGAGCUAGCGUUGUUCGGAAUUACUGGGCGUAAAGCGUGCGUAGGCGGUUAUUCAAGUCAGAGGUGAAAGCCCGGGGCUCAACCCCGGAACGGCCUUUGAAACUAGAUAACUAGAAUCUUGGAGAGGUCAGUGGAAUUCCGAGUGUAGAGGUGAAAUUCGUAGAUAUUCGGAAGAACACCAGUGGCGAAGGCGACUGACUGGACAAGUAUUGACGCUGAGGUACGAAAGCGUGGGGAGCAAACAGGAUUAGAUACCCUGGUAGUCCACGCCGUAAACGAUGAUAACUAGCUGUCCGGACACUUGGUGUUUGGGUGGCGCAGCUAACGCAUUAAGUUAUCCGCCUGGGGAUACGGUCGCAAGNUUAAAACCGUUAAUGAAUUGACGG